UGUAAGGAGAUUGGAAAAACAUCGCCCUGCGUGCAACGUCAUCGCGCAACUGUGCGGAGGGAGACUACAAAUCCGUUAAAUCCCUAGUACCACAAAAUCACUGUAAACUAGUAAUUUCAUGGCGUCGUCGAACAACAGAUGGACUUUAUUUCGCUGAAUCAAGGCUUAUCUUUCACCAGAAAGGGAACAUGAACGUCCUAUUUUCUCUAUUUUUGCUGCUGUCUGUAACUUUACACGAGAAUGGUGUUUCUGGUGUUGAUAAAGACGAUGUGUCUGUGAGCAGAGGAGAUUCAGUCACUCUACACACCGGUGUUAAAACAAACCAACAAUAUAUAAUUGUGUGGUUUUAUGAAGGCAUUCGUAUCGCUGUAAUCAGAGGAGAUCUCAGUUAUAUCUGUACGGAUGUUCAGUGUAAUAAUGGCACUGAGAGAUUCAGAGACAGACUGAAGCUGGAUCAUCAGACUGGAUCUCUGACCAUCAUGAACACCAGACUCAGAGAUGCUGGAGAAUAUCAGCUACUGAUCAGCAGCAGCAAAAGCAUCAAUGAAAAGAUAUUCAGAGUUGUUGUUAAAGAUGUCUAUUGGGUUGAUGAAGAUGAUAAUGAUGAAGAGUCAGUGUCAGUGAUUGAGGGAGAUUCAGUCACUCUACACACCGGUGUUAAAACAGACCAACAAGACAGAAUUGUGUGGUUUAAUGAAGGCAGUCGUAUCGCUGUAAUCAGUGGAGAUCUCAGUGUGAUCUGCACUGACGUUCAGUGUGAUAAUGGCACUAAGAGAUUCAGAAACAGACUGAAUCUGGAUCAUCAGACUGGAUCUCUGACCAUCAUGAACAGCAGAAACACAGAUGAUGGAGAAUAUCAGCUACUGAUCUUUAGCAGCUUCCGCUUGAGCAAAAAGAUCUUCAGAGUUGUUGUUCAUGAUGUCCAUUGGGUUCAUGAAGUUAAAGUGGAAGUGUCAGUGACGGAUGGAUAUCCGGUCACUUUAAACACUGAUACUACAACAAACCAACACCACAAAAUUAAAUGGUAUUUCAAUAACAUUUGUGUUGCUCAGAUCAGAGGAGAUCUCAGUUACAUCUGCACAGAUGUUCAGUGUGAUGAAGGCGCUGAGAGAUUCGGAGACAGACUAAAGCUGGAUCAUCAAACUGGAUCUCUGACCAUCAUGAGCAUCAGAAACAGAGAUAGAGGAGAAUAUAAACUGGAGAUCAUCAGCAACAGAGGCAGCAGAAAAAAGAUCUUCAGAGUUCUUGUUGAUGUCGUCCAUCUGCACUGCAGUACCACGAGGCUCAGAUAAGCACUGUUUGUGUGGUGCUGUGGGUUUUCUACAUCAAGAAUGGAUCGUAUCAGCUUCAAAGAGGGGCGGGGUGAGCUGCAGCUCAGUAUCAUUUAAAGAUACAGGCACCAAAAUGGGUCACUGUGGACUGAGGUGUUUUUGAAAAGAUCCUGGGUCGUUUUCAGCUGCUGUACCAAGACUAUAUGAAAUUGUUGUUAUUGCUGCUGCUGUUCUGCUUCUUGCUGCUGCAGUUUCUGGUGUAAUUUGCUGCUACAAGAGCAAAGCAAAUG